rnacentral:tRNA from 1 species
GCGGGUCGGGCUUCAAACCCGUGUUUGGG